GUAUAGAGUGGACCCGCGUUUUGAUAAGCCAGUGGUGAGGGUACGGCCCACCCAAACCAACGAUCAGUAGCCGCCUUGAGAGGGUGAACGGCCACAUUGGGANUGAGACACGGCCCAAAAUCUACGGGGAGCAAGCAGUGGGGAAUAUUGGACAAUGGGGGAAACCCUGAUCCAGCGACGCCGCGUGAGUGAAGAAGUAUUUCGGUAUGUAAAGCUCUAUCAGCAAGGAAGAUAAUGACGGUACUUGACUAAGAAGCCCCGGCUAACUACGUGCCAGCAGCCGCGGUAAUACGUAGGGGGCAAGCGUUAUCCGGAUUUACUGGGUGUAAAGGGAGCGUAGACGGUUUGGCAAGUAUGAUGUGAAAGCCCGGGGCUCAACCGCGGGACUGCAUUGGAAACUGUCAGACUUGAGUGCAGGAGAGGUAAGUGGAAUUCCUAGUGUAGCGGUGAAAUGCGUAGAUAUUAGGAGGAACACCGGUGGCGAAGGCGGCUUACUGGACUGUAACUGACGUUGAGGCUCGAAAGCGUGGGGAGCAAACA
rnacentral:rRNA from 1 species